CUCGAGAGCUGCAACAACAAGAGACAAUGCUCCAAACACCAAGAAGUAGAAAAUCUCCAUUGAAGCACAAUGAGAGAAAGAGAUAGGAAAAGAAAAGCUCAUCAUUGUUCAUGUCCUCUAGACUCUUCUUAGUGGUGGGUAUGAUAAUAGACAGCAAUUUGCAUGAACACUAUGUAUCAAUUAGAAUAUGCAUUUUAGACAUUACCAUGUCCUCUAUUUCUGAAAACUGAAAUCCUGUUAGACAGCAGAGGAAAUAUCACAAGACAAAGAAGGCUGUAGGGAUAGCCAUCAUUCCAAGAUAGUAUUGGGAUCACCCCUUUCUAUUUUGUUUUGUUUCAUUUAUUUGUCAUUUUACUAGAUUUUUUUUUAGCUACAGCAGAAUAGAAUUUUGCUAGAGUUUAUUAUCACUAUCACACCACUAGGAAAACUUUUUCCGUCUCAGUUCCUUGUCCCAACUCCCAACUAUAAGAUUACUAUGUGCCAUUGAGCCACCUGAAAUUGUUUACCAACAGACAUGCAAACAAUUGUUACUCCAUUCAAAGCAAAAGUCUCAGUCUGCUUAUUUACAGUUAAAUUAAAUGCUGAUAUAAGUUAGAGAAUUCCACGUAUGAAAAGGGAAUUCAAGUAUAAAAUUAUAUUACAUAUAAGAGUGAUGGUAGAAUACACACCUCGCUAGGCUUACCCCACAAUCUACGUAAAUAGAAAUCUGACUCAGCCGCAAUUAUUCCUGGC
rnacentral:misc_RNA from 1 species